CCUACGGGUGGCAGCAGUGGGGAAUAUUGCGCAAUGGGCGAAAGCCUGACGCAGCGACGCCGCGUGAGGGAUGAAGGUCUUCGGAUCGUAAAGCUCUGUCAGCAGGGAAGAACGGUCAUUGUGCUAAUCAGCAGUGAAUUGACGGUACCUGCAAAGGAAGCACCGGCUAACUCCGUGCCAGCAGCCGCGGUAAUAGGGAGGGUGCGAGCGUUAAUCGGAAUUACUGGGCGUAAAGCGCUCGUGGGCGGUAUGUUAAGUGAGGGGUGAAAUCCCCGGGCUCAACGUGGGAACUGCCUUUGAAACGGGGAGACUGGAGUGUGUGAGAGGAUAGUGGAAUUCCAGGUGUAGGGGUGAAAUCCGUAGAUAUGUGGAGGAACAUCAGUGGCGAAGGCGACUAUCUGGCACAUAACUGACGCUGAGGAGCGAAAGCGUGGGUAGCAAACAGGAUUAGAUACCCGAGUAGUC
rnacentral:rRNA from 1 species